GAGGCGUACGGGGGCGGCGAGCGGGGCUCGGCUCCUCCUCGUCCCGCGCCAGCGCCGCGCCCGGCCGCAUUCUCGGGGCCCGAGGCUCAGCCGCUCGCGGUGGAGAAAGCAGGCCGCGGAGGAGGCGGGCGCCCAGGCCUGCCCGGACAGGAAGUGGGCCCAGCUUUCCCACUCCUCGCUCCGCUCCUUCCUCCGCGGGAAGGGCAGGCCCCGGAGGCAGCGAGCGCCCCGGGGGUGGCCGGGCAGCCGGAUGCUCCCGGGGUUGCGGGCUGUGGCCCCGGGGGCUGAGGGCGGCGCGGGUGCGGCGGAAGCAGGGAAGCCGCGAACCGGCCUUCUGGCUGGCCACAGCGCCCUGCACGGACGAUCAGUGAAUGGAGAUUACUCAAGUAUUUAUCGAGAACUUGCAGUGGGCUAGGCACAGUUCAGGUAGAUCAACAAACCGAAAGACCCUGCCCUAGGGGAGCUUUCGCUCCAAUGCGGGGAGAGGGUGGAUGAUUGCAGUUUUGCCCAGUAAUUUUUGGGACCCUCAUGCCACCAUUAAUUAGCUACACACAUUUCACCGAAAGUCUACCUUACAUAUUAAUCAGAAGAAGUGGAAGAAUAAACACAGAAGAAGCAAAAAAGGAAGGAACUUUCUCACUGAAAGUUUCUAUUUAAUAUUAAGUCUUAAAAGUACUCCUGGAAGGACAAAAGGUGUUCUUAAUAAAUUAUAUUCGCAAAUAUUGGAUUUAAUCCUACCAGUAAUGAAGCAGUCAGUUACUUUCUAGAUGUGCAGAAAUACGUAAUGAACAAAAAAAACUAAUUCCUAUUCCAUUUUUUAUUAGGUCCACAGUUAUUUCACUUCUAAAUAAAUAUGGUUUUUUAAAAGUGGCACGCGGUGGAAUGUAAUUGAGACAGGAUGGAGUUCCUAGAGAAAUUUUACUUCCUCAAUCUGCACUCCACCUUACUUAAAAUACAGUCUUGGGUCUGUAAUUCCCUUAUCUGACUCUCAAGGAAAUGACAAAGUAAUGCCUAGAUUGGACUAAACCUCAUUUAACUUCAAGGCUGACCUUUCUCAAAGUUGAACCUUCGUCUUGUGAGGAACAGAAAGAUCAAGAACUCUGAAGCACCUCGACUUUCCACCUGUGAAGAUGUGUUCAAAUUUGCAACGUGCGGCCACACCUAUGAGGUCACUCCCUCUGGAGGAAACCAGCUGCCACUUUGUGAGGAUACUCAUAGUCCUGUGGAGGCAUAUCCUCCAUAUGGCUGAGACCUCCUGCGAACAACCAUCACUGACUUGCCAGACAUGAGUGUGCCACCUUGGAAGCAGAUUUUCCAGCCCCAGUUAAGCCUUCAGAUGACAUCAGCCCCUGCUAAUCUCUUGACUACAACCUCAUGAGAGACCCUGAGCCAGAACUAGCCAGGCUUACCCCUCAUGGUUACAAAGUGGCUGCAACAGCUCCAGGUGUUCUAUCCUUUAACACAGAAUAACUCAAACAACAAGACCCAAUAUUCAGACAAGAAGGAAAGGGACUUUUGGAGAGUGAAGAAAACUUUCCUAGAAACCUCAAACUUCUCCCCAUGCCUUAUUGGCCAGAUUGUAUCCCAUGCCCAUUUCUAAACCAAUCAUUGGCAAAGUGAGUGGAAUUGACGUGAUUAGAUUAACUUUACCAAGAAUGCAUCCUCAGAGAGGCUGAGAAAAAGUCCAGCCUCCUUUGAAGAGCCUGGCUACCUUUCACCUGAACAAAACAAGAAUUCUGAUGAAAAAUGGAGAAUGUAUGUGGAGCAGGCACCCGGAGUGUCUAUGCCAGGAUUUUUUUUCAGUGCGUUUCACCGGUUAUAUUUUUGUCUCUUUACCUUACAAGAUAUGUGGCACGUUUGCCUAAAACAAGCCUUGCUUUCUGAUUUCUGUGCACUAGGCACUUAAACCUUGCAAAUGUCGCUUACCUAACAGUCACUGUCAAGGAGUACCUGGCUAAAGAAUCUCCAGCUAGACAAAGUAGAAGUGUCUGUGCUCUGGCAGUUGAAUAUAUUGUAUCAGGCUCAACAGCACCUUUCACCAAAGGAUGAGACUUCACAACCAUUAGAUCUUCUUUUAUUUUGUUUUUAUUAAAAAAAAAAAUUUUAACACACCAUUGCUAACUUGAAGCCAUUAGAUCUUCUUACCCCCAAUACCACAAAAGUUUAGUGGAAUCAGGGGUAUACCAAGGCAGGUGGAGUAGGGGAGCUGGGAGUGGUCAGCCCCCAGGGCAGGCAAUGAGGGAUUGUGAAUCUGUGAAGAAUUUUAAAGCAAUGAUACAGCUCUAAAUGCAAUGUACUAUCCUGGACUUAGCCCUGGAAAAGAAAAAAGAUAUUAGUGGAAAAACUGGUAAAAUUCAAAUAAUGUCUGUAGUUUGGUUAAUAGUAUUAUACCAAUGUUAAUUUCUGUGUUUUGAUAAAUGUACCAUGGUUAUGUAAGCUGGAUGAAAGAUAUGUGGGAAAUCUCUCUACUAUUUCUGCAACUCUCCUGUAAACCUAAAAAUGUUUCAAAAUAAAAGAUUUAAUGCUAAAAUUGACUGAAAA
rnacentral:lncRNA from 1 species